rnacentral:lncRNA from 1 species
UUAAUUUGCAGAUCCUUGAAUCAAUCAUUCGUAGUCUUCGGCCAUAUCAAGAGGAGAACCACAUAAACUACUUACUUACUAUCAAAGUCGGUGCGUACAACAAUUUGGAGGAAAUUGUUAACCAACUUUCAACUUUGAUCGUCAAAGCGAACACAGAAAGUUGAGUCGCGUUGAAAUUCAGAUAUUAUAUACAAAGCCUAUUCAACCCAAUUACCUUCCUUCUAUACGGUCAUCGUGAUCAUGGCGAUCAGUACUACAGUAGUACUAGUAUAGAACACAAUCAAAGUAAGGUGGCGCUGUUUGUGUUUGGGGACUCACCAUUUGAGGCUGGAAACGACCAAUACCUAAUUCCUAAUGUUACCGUAGAAGAUGAUGAAGCAAUAGCAUGGCCAUAUGGAAUGACUUUCUUCCACCAUCCUACUGGAAGAUUCAGCGAUGGGCGUAUUGUCCCCGAUUUUAUCGAUCUAAUAUUGGCUCUUGUUUCUUUAAAGUUGUACUAUCAGAUCUAA